AGAGGUUUGAUCACUGGCUCAGAACGAACGCUGGCGGCGUGCUUAAGACAUGCAAGUCGAACGAGAAAGCACCUUCGGGUGUGAGUAGAGUGGCGCACGGGUGAGUAACGCGUGGAUAAUCUACCUUCUCGUCUGGGAUAACUCCUGGAAACGGGUGCUAAUACCGGAUAAGCCCACGGGUCUGCGGAUCUGUGGGAAAAGGUGGCCUCUCCUUGGAAGCUACUGCGAGUUGAUGAGUCUGCGUUCCAUUAGCUAGUUGGUGGGGUAACGGCCUACCAAGGCGUCGAUGGAUAGCUGGUCUGAGAGGAUGAUCAGCCACACUGGAACUGAGACUACGGUCCAGACUCCUACGGGAGGCAGCAGUCGGGAAUCUUUGGGCAAUGGGCGAAAGCCUGACCCAG
rnacentral:rRNA from 1 species